rnacentral:rRNA from 1 species
UGGGCCCGUUUGAUCAUGGCUCAGAUUGAACGCUGGCGGCAUGCUUUACACAUGCAAGUCGAACGGGGUGGGGGGCAACUCCCAUUCAGUGGCGAACGGGUGAGUAAUGCAUCGGAACGUGUCCCGUAGAGGGGGAUAACUCGGCGAAAGCCGUGCUAAUACCGCAUAUGCUCUACGGAGGAAAGUGGGGGACCUGCAAGGGCCUCACGCUAUGGGAGCGGCCGAUGUCCGAUUAGCUUGUUGGUGGGGUAAUGGCCUACCAAGGCUACGAUCGGUAGCUGGUCUGAGAGGAUGAUCAGCCACACUGGGACUGAGACACGGCCCAGACUCCUACGGGAGGCAGCAGUGGGGAAUUUUGGACAAUGGGGGCAACCCUGAUCCAGCCAUGCCGCGUGCGGGAAGAAGGCCUUCGGGUUGUAAACCGCUUUUAGCCGGGAAGAAAAGGCUGCCUUGAACAGGGGCGGUUUUUGACGGUACCGGCGGAAUAAGCACCGGCUAACUACGUGCCAGCAGCCGCGGUAAUACGUAGGGUGCGAGCGUUAAUCGGAAUUACUGGGCGUAAAGCGUGCGCAGGCGGUUCGUUGUGUCUGUCGUGAAAGCCCCGGGCUUAACCUGGGAACUGCGAUGGAAACUGGCGAGCUUGAGUGUGGCAGAGGGGGGGGUGGAACUCCUGGUGUAGCAGUGAAAUGCGUA